CAAAGCUAGCACCUUUGCUGGUGUUAACUUCCAUAGGGUAAAGAGAAGCCACAGCGGAGCUCACCCAUCUGGUAUGUCACUGACAGGGCAGGAGAGAUGGGCUUACUCAUACUCGUAUCGGCCCAAAGCUGCAUCCCUGGGAACAGUCAAGUGAAGGGUUACAUAAGCAGGAGCCGGCAUGUUUGGCAGCCUGUCACUUAGACAGAGAGAAGCUCGAGGAAGACUAACUUAGAAAGAGCUAAUGAGAGCAAAGAGACUGGGAAUGUACUGAAGGAGGCCCUGGUGAGGGGAGGAAGAGGGCACAGAGGAGCCAAGCCUGUGCCUCUGCCCAUUUGUUGAAGUAUCUAAGCUCACAGCAACAGGGAGUCAAGUGAUUCAUGGGGGAGGGCAGGCACCUUUCUUGUGGAGGAGGAGGCAGAUGAUGCACUCAGGUAGGAUGCAGCCCAGUGAGAGGUCAAGUGCAGAAAGAAGAGCAGAAGGUUUCUGAGGAGCAUGCAGAUCCUUAGAUCUGAGAGGCUGGGUCCAGCAUGAAGGUGUGAGCAGACAGAUUGGGAUUUUAGUUGCUCUGGAAGAGACAGAACAUAAUGACUGAGCACGGAAGCUCAACUAAGUAUUUCUUAUCAACUGAGAGUGCACUGGAGGGUGGUGGCUGACCCUUAGGAAAAGGGCUGGCAACUUAUGCUGAUGUAUGCAGACCUGUCUCAAUGUUGUAGUUACAGCAGAGCAGCUUUGGGAGAAAUGGAGGACAGCAAGAAGGAAAAAGUGGUGCCUCAACAGAAGAUGGCGUAAAGCAAACCAGCCCAAUACAGUAAAGCCACUGUGUCAGGAAGUUCAGAACAAACCCACAUCCCAUCAGAACUAGCCCGCUUUUAGCUUUGUAUCCAAAAAUAUUAGUCCAUUUAUUGGCCAUUAAAAAUUCCCUUUGUCUCUUCUCA